GGGUCGCUAGCUCAACUGGUAGAGCAGCGGACUCUUAAUCCGCUGGUUCGGGGUUCGAGUCCCCGGCGACUCACCA
rnacentral:tRNA from 1 species